rnacentral:rRNA from 1 species
UACGGGGGGGGCAAGCGUUGUUCGGAAUUACUGGGCGUAAAGGGCUCGUAGGCGGCCAACUAAGUCAGACGUGAAAUCCCCUCGGCUUAACCGGGGAACUGCGUCUGAUACUGAAUGGCUUGAGGUUGGGAGAGGGAUGCGGAAUUCCGAGGUGUAGCGGUGAAAUGCGUAGAUAUCUGGAGGAACACCGGUGGCGAAGGCGGCAUCCUGGACCAAUUCUGACGCUGAGGAGCGAAAGCCAGGGGAGCAAACGGG